rnacentral:rRNA from 1 species
CGGAGAGUUUGAUCCUGGCUCAGAUUGAACGCUAGCGGAAUGCCUUACACAUGCAAGUCGAACGGCAGCACGGACUUCGGUCUGGUGGCGAGUGGCGAACGGGUGAGUAAUGUAUCGGAACGUACCCAGUAGCGGGGGAUAACUACUCGAAAGAGUAGCUAAUACCGCAUACGCCCUUCGGGGGAAAGGGGGGGAUCUUCGGACCUCCCACUAUUGGAGCGGCUGAUAUCGGAUUAGCUAGUUGGUGAGGUAAAGGCUCACCAAGGCGACGAUCCGUAGCUGGUUUGAGAGGACGACCAGCCACACUGGAACUGAGACACGGUCCAGACUCCUACGGGAGGCAGCAGUGGGGAAUUUUGGACAAUGGGGGAGACCCUGAUCCAGCCAUUCCGCGUGUGUGAAGAAGGCCUUCGGGUUGUAAAGCACUUUUGGCGGGAAAGAAACGGCGUCGACUAAUACUCGGCGUAACUGACGGUACCCGCAGAAUAAGCACCGGCUAACUACGUGCCAGCAGCCGCGGUAAUACGUAGGGUGCAAGCGUUAAUCGGAAUUACUGGGCGUAAAGCGUGCGCACGCGGUUCGGAAAGAAAGAUGUGAAAUCCCAGGGCUCAACCUUGGAACUGCAUUUUUAACUACCGGGCU